CUCAUUUGUUACUUUUUUUUGCUCAUUUUAGGAAGUUUUUGCUUAUUUUAAGUGAUUCUCACGGUUCUCACCAUAAGAAGGUUCUCAUUAGAACCCAGCCCUACAUAUAUAUAUAUAUAUAUGCAAGAUCAUGUGAGAAAAGAAUUUAGGUGAGAAAUGAGAAUGAAUCACUACCCUUAGUUUAGAUCUUAUCAACGGCCAAGAUCUCAAAGUAAUAUUAACACAAACUAACUUUUUCGUUCAUCCUCUACAAAGACCUAUUUUUCUCUCUCAUCACUUCUCCUGUACGUUUUCUCUCUCCAUUCAUCUCCUUCUGUCAAGAACUUAAUGGAAUCCAUUACCGCGGCGCAAGAAGCUGGUUUUCAUAAUACAAGUCUGGAGAUUAGUACCUUUGCAAGUCCAGGACUUGGUCACUCCAUACAUAGCCAUUGUAGCCUGAGGUUGCUAAGCAGCAACUGACGAGACAAAGACAACUGAUGAGCGGUUCGUCAGAUGGGGAGCAACUUCCCAAAACACAUCCAUGAAGAUUAAAAGCAGUUAGAGCAGCAUUAAAGUGGAGUAAACAUGAUUCAAUCUGGGAAGCUCCACCUAUUUACUCUAUAUUCUAUAAAUGAUAAUCCAUCUAUGGUUCCCAUCACUGUUAUGUUAUACUCUACUAGUCUACUGAACUUAUUAUGGAAACUAUGCAAAGCAAUUGGCAAAUGGCAAAUGGCAAUACCUUCCGAAGAAGUAUUUCAUUA